rnacentral:lncRNA from 1 species
CUCUAAGGUUAGCGCUACGCACGGCCUCCAACAUGACUAUAAACACCAGAAACUAAUUGCAACUCCUGGACCGAGUACUAAGCGAUUAAUAAGUCGAGAGGGUCAAUUAAGUAUCCCAACGUGUGGUAGUAUCUAGUCUUGGAUUACAUACACGGAACUCAGUUCCUAAGGACGGUUCCAAUGAAACAACCCGCCAUGUACUCCUACAUAGCCUUUCACCGACACCUUUACCAAAUCAGGUUCAACACACAACCUUUACUUACUGAACACAUUCUCACAAUUCUUUUCAUCACCCAGAUGACAGACCAUACACAACUCUAAGCAUAGCGUGCAUAGCACGAUAAGGCACAUCA